rnacentral:lncRNA from 13 species
CAAGAUCCCUGCUGGAGAAGAAGGGCCACGUGCAAAUUGCAAGCACCUGAAUUAACAUGAUGUAGAGGAAGGCUGAUGUCUGUCACUUCCAUGAAUGUGUCCUCUGAACAAAGAAGGCAAAGGACCUGGGGCAGGCGUUGAGGAGAACAGCCCUGAGGUGGGUCAUCACCGCUGCAGCGGCCCAGGAGCGCUGAAUUCCAGCUUGCGAGGCUGUCCUGGUCCUUGAGGAAUCGCCACACUGUCUUCCACAAUGGUUGCACUAAUUUGCACUCCCACCAACAGUGUAAAGGUGUUCCUAUUUCUCCGGAUCCUCUCCAGCAUCUGUUGUUUCCUGAUUUCUUAAUGCUCACUCAUCUGACUGGCGUGAGAUGAUAUCUCACUGUGGUUUUCAUUUGCAUCUCUCUGAUGACCAGUGAUGAUGAAUGUUUUUUUCAUAUGUUUGUUGACCUCAUAAAUGUCUUCUGUUGAGAAGUGUCUGUUCAGGCUGAUUGUUAACUUGGCAUCAAACUGAAAGUUUUCUUAAAUUUGCUAUUUGAAAGCUUCAAUAAUUAUAAUAAAGAUAACUUGCUUUUGUGUAGUGUUUAAUUA